GUGACCCCAAGAUGGGCGAGGCCACCCGCCGAGUUUAAG
rnacentral:rRNA from 1 species